rnacentral:rRNA from 1 species
AGUGAACGCUGGCGGUAGGCCUAACACAUGCAAGUCGAACGGCAGCACAGUAAGAGCUUGCUCUUACGGGUGGCGAGUGGCGGACGGGUGAGGAAUACAUCGGAAUCUACUUUUUCGUGGGGGAUAACGUAGGGAAACUUACGCUAAUACCGCAUACGACCUACGGGUGAAAGCAGGGGAGCUUCGGACCUUGCGCGAUUGAAUGAGCCGAUGUCGGAUUAGCUAGUUGGCGGGGUAAAGGCCCACCAAGGCGACGAUCCGUAGCUGGUCUGAGAGGAUGAUCAGCCACACUGGAACUGAGACACGGUCCAGACUCCUACGGGAGGCAGCAGUGGGGAAUAUUGGACAAUGGGCGCAAGCCUGAUCCAGCCAUACCGCGUGGGUGAAGAAGGCCUUCGGGUUGUAAAGCCCUGUUGUUGGGAAAGAAAAGCAGCAGGUUAAUACCCCGCUGUUCUGACGGUACCCAAAGAAUAAGCACCGGCUAACUUCGUG